rnacentral:misc_RNA from 1 species
GUCAAUUCCACCAAAAAAAAGAUUGGUAGCUUCCUUGUUGAAAAUUUCCAUGGACUAAUUAGAUUUGACGACCUAGUAUGCUCUCGAAAUGUGUGAAGGUUAUAAAAGUCUCACAGUGCACUAACUUGAAUCGCUUAGUUUGGGCAAUUUAUUAUUAGGGUAAUUUUACUCAAAGAACAUGGAUCAAUUAGCAGAAACUUAUGCUAG